GCCGAGAGACAAAAUGAGGGGGAGAGAGAGAAGGAAGGAGAGGAGGGAGAAAUAGAGAGGAAAGAGGAAAGGGAGGUGCGGCGGCUGACAGGAGAGAGGGUCAUCGGCCGGCGCCGGAGAGGACGGGCCCAACCUGGACGCGACUUGGAGGUUGGCGGCUGCUCGAUCCACUCCUGGAUCGGGAGCUGCGACGAGGCUGGGGCUCGGGCACGUUGUACGGGGUGGUCUCGCCGGCGAUGACAGGGCUGAUCGGCCGGAGUUGGAUCGAGAUCCCGGCUGGCACGGCUCAGCUCCAACUCCCUCUUCCACCUCUCCGCUCCCCGACACUCAAAUCUGGCUCUUCUGCACACAUCAGUAGCUAUGGAAAGAAAGCUUGUAGUGGAGUGGGUUCCUUUGUAUGAUCUUGGAAGAUGAUGACCUUUGAAGCCCAUUAGAAAGCAUGGCAAUGGCUUAAGGUUAGCGCAUUUCGAGAAGCCAACAGAUCGCCGCCUACUUCCUUAGGCUGACAAUCACCUGCGGGAUAAAGUGCGAUGUUUUGCCUGAGACAGGAUCAAGGACUAGGCAACGUGGUCGUCGCGCACGAACCAGUGUAGCCCAUUGGCACUGGUAAAGUUGUAUCGGCGGCUCAGGCACAUGAAGACCAGGUUGCUCAUCAGUUGGAUGUGGAGUUGCGUCUGAGCUAGGACUCUCCCAUGAUCACUACAUAGAAAAAGAUACAUCCAGUUUGGUUUCUAAUGUCUGUUUUUGCCUAAGCAAAAAAGGUAACAAGCUUAUAUUGUCGUAUGGUUCUCAGUUUG